CGAGUAUGUGUAUGUGAGUGAUGGUGCGUUUGCGAAUAUUAGUAGUGCAGUGACUGACUUUCUCCCUUCUAAGCUCGUCGAUAGAGUUUAUGGUAGAUUCUCGAGGGAACACGGACGGAAAUGGAAGAAGGUGAUAAAGGAUUCCCACCCAUACCCCUUCGCGACUCCCAGGCGGCAUAACGAGAGGCAGACAGUGGUGAGCAACGGCCGCUUUCAGACACGCCAUUGUAAA